GAUGCUAAGGUCCUGCCACCCCUGCACGCAGCUCCCCUGCCCACCAGGACAUCCUACCCUUCCCUGGCUUGCUUCUCCCUGGGCCUUGAGGGGCUUGUGGUAGGGCUCUGGUCAGGGCUGUCUUUGUGCCUGCCUCAUUCUGCCCAUCUUGUCCUCACUCUGUACCAGCCCCUCACCAGCCUCGCCUCCAGAAAGCCUCCCUCCAGUUCAGGUUCGUCUUUAAUUCGCAGCUCAUUAGCAGAUCAAAGAAGAUGGAGAUGCCUGGGUCCAAGAUACCCCCAGGCAGCCCUCUCCUCACACUCACAAGGCACCCCUGUUGGCUCCAGGCAAGGGACUCCCCCUCCGUUGCUCUGUGAAGCCUGAGCCGGGACCUGGCUCCAGACUCCUCCCUCUGUAACUGGGCCAGAGAUUCAGCUGGUGGCGGGGGAGGGGAGGGGUGGUUGCUGAGGCCAAGGCACUGGGAAGCAGCCUCGGCCCCCUCCUCCGGAGCAGGAGAAGGACAAGGACAGUUAAUUCCUCUGGUGUUAUCAGCUGGGCACAGGCGCUGGUUGCAUAGCAACCCAGAUUGCUCUCUGUCUCCAGUGCUCCAAAAAAAAAAAAAAAAAAAUUCAGCAUUUCCUCCAACUCCACAUCAAUGAGACAGAAAUGGACCCCGGGGCAGCCCAGACUCCCCACCUCCCAGCGAGCGCAUGGCUCUUUGCAGGAAGCCUCUACCCAACCCCCUUGGUGGGGGUCCCCGCUCUUAAAGUCCACACCCACCUCACAACCACCUCUUCCCUCCUGGAUGCCAGACUGAGUCCCCAGGUUCUGAUUUCUGAGAGAGACUGCCGGCCAAUUUCCCGUGUGUGAUGACUGGAGAAGGUUCUGCCGUGCACCCGUGGAUUCGCUGAUGGGACAGUUAUGAGAAGGAAUCCCCCGGAAGCAUCCUCCACCCCUUCACCGUACUCUUUGUCUGAUGGACUCCCACAAGCUCCGGGCCUCGCUGGGAUGCCACUUCUUCCAUGAAGCCCUCCCUGACUGUCACUCCCCUCCCCCCCAUGUGUAUGGUGCUCCCUCCCCCAUGUCCGUGAACCCCCAGCCCCCUCAAACAUCCCCCCUGCAGUACCUUUGCGCUGUUCUCUAAUCCUUUAACUGUCUCUUUCUCCACCACAGGCAGGGCUGGUGUGCACCUUGCUCGGUAAGGCACCCCCAGCACCCUGCCCAGCGUCACCCCCGUUCUAGCAGUGUGUCAUUCCAGGAUCGUGCCAAAGGCUGCACAGUCACCUGAUAAUGCCCUACUGAGGUGGGCGCUAUUGUUCCCAUCAUGACUUUGUAGAUGAGGAUCUAGGCACAGGAAGUCAGAUACAGCUACCACUCAGCCCGCCUCCAACAGUAAACACAUUUUGUUUUGUUAGUACCGUGAUUCUUAU
rnacentral:lncRNA from 1 species